ncrna:unclassified sequences S10-Clostridia ribosomal protein leader
UGAUAGCAAAGAAGCGAGAGGUUGCUGCCCACCAUAAGGCAGGUUUUCCGUGGAGCGAAUGUCAAGUUAGGAAACUGGCGACAA